UCCCUUGCCAAUCACAUGAGAACUGACCUAGGGAGAACAUCAGCUGAAGGUUGUCUUCUAACUGGAAAAUGAAGAGUCAAAAAGUCCUGAGGCCUUUCUGCCCUUCUCACUGAAAGGAAAAUGAACAGCCUGGUCAUAGGAUGAAUGUUGUCUUGGGUCACCAUCAAGAUCCUGACCUGCCUAAAUGAUGUGACACAAGGAAAGAGUGGCCAAAAUUUAUUAUUUUGGUCUCAAAAGACAACGAGUAGGAAACCACUAAUUAUCAAGAAAAUAUCAAGAUUUGAACAUGAAAAAUAUGGAUCAUGCAUGCAGAGGCUCACAUCUCUCUUUGGGUGUGUACGUGGCUCUCAGUUCCUCCUGGGAUUAGUGGCAGAACUUCAAAAAACCCUGAGCCAAGACCAGAUUUUCAGAGGUCCCCAGCAUCCCCCAGUU
rnacentral:lncRNA from 1 species